GGAGCUGGAGCGUAUGUCUGAUGUUGGAGACGUGUCAGGAUCACAGCCAGUGAGUGACUGUUCAGCAAGGCAACGGCACAGGUCCUGUCUCUGGUUUCUGGAUUACCACUGCAACUUUUGCAUCUGAAGCUUAGCCUGAGUGCCAGAAAGACUGCUCAGAGGCAGCAGAAGGAUCACUACAAAGGUGGAGACCUCUCAGAUAUUGUCAAAUAGCAUUCAACAAGGGGUAACAGCAAAGCAUGCCAUUCAUG